UACGGGGGGGGCAAGCGUUGUUCGGAAUUACUGGGCGUAAAGGGCUCGUAGGCGGCCAACUAAGUCGGAUGUGAAAUCCCCAGGCUCAACUUGGGAACUGCAUCCGAUACUGGAUGGCUUGAAUUCGGGAGAGGGAUGCAGAAUUCCAGGUGUAGCGGUGAAAUGCGUAGAUAUCUGGAGGAAUACCGGUGGCGAAGGCGGCAUUCUGGACCGACAUUGACGCUGAGGAGCGAAAGCCAGGGGAGCAAACGGG
rnacentral:rRNA from 1 species